AGAGUUUGAUCAUGGCUCAGGGUGAACGCUGGCGGCGUGCUUGACACAUGCAAGUCGAACGGUAUGUGGCAACACAUAGAGUGGCGAACGGGUGAGUAACACGUGGGAACGUAUCUUUUGCAGGGGGAUAACUGACCGAAAGGACAGCUAAUACCGCAUAAGUCCGGGAGGAGAAAGGUGCAACAGCAUCGGCAGAAGAGCGGCCCGCGGUCCAUCAGCUAGUUGGUGAGGUAAGGGCUUACCAAGGCGACGACGGAUAGCCGGCGUGAGAGCGUGGCCGGCCACAAGGACACUGAGAUACGGGUCCUACUCCUACGGGAGGCAGCAGUGCGGAAUUUUAGAUAAUGGAGGGAACUCUGAUCUAGCGACGCCGCGUGCAGGAAGAAGGUCUUCGGAUUGUAAACUGCUGUGGUAAGGGAAAAAUGCUAUGUAGAGUGGAAAGCUACAUAGAGGGAUGGUACCUUACUAGAAAGCCCCGGCUAACUACGUGCCAGCAGCCGCGGUAAUACGUAGGGGGCGAGCGUUACCCGGAAUCACUGGGCGUAAAGGGAGCGUAGGUGGCCUAACAUGUCAACUGUGAAAACCCGGAGCUCAACUCCGGACUUGCAGUUGAAACUGGUAGGCUUGAGGACGGUAGAGGAAGACGGAACUGCCAGUGUAGGGGUAAAAUCCUUAGAUAUUGGCAGGAACGCCGGUGACGAAGGUGGUUUUCUGGGCCGGUUCUGACACUGAUGCUCGAAAGCCAGGGGAGCGAACGGGAUUAGAUACCCCGGUAGUCCUGGCCCUAAACGAUGUUCACUAGGUGUGGGGAGCGGAAAGCUCUCCGUGCUAAAGCUAACGCGAUAAGUGAACCGCCUGGGGAGUACGCCCGCAAGGGUGAAACUCAAAUGAAUUGACGG
rnacentral:rRNA from 2 species